rnacentral:rRNA from 1 species
AUUGCCUCAGUAACGGCGAGUGAAGCGGCAACAGCUCAAAUUUGAAAUCUGGCCCCAGGCCCGAGUUGUAAUUUGCAGAGGAUGCUUUUGGCGCGGUGCCUUCCGAGUUCCCUGGAACGGGACGCCAUAGAGGGUGAGAGCCCCGUCUGGUUGGACACCAAGCCUUUGUAAAGCUCCUUCGACGAGUCGAGUAGUUUGGGAAUGCUGCUCAAAAUGGGAGGUAUAUGUCUUCUAAAGCUAAAUACCGGCCAGAGACCGAUAGCGCACAAGUAGAGUGAUCGAAAGAUGAAAAGCACUUUGGAAAGAGAGUUAAACAGCACGUGAAAUUGUUAAAAGGGAAGCGUUUAUGACCAGACUUGGGCCGGUUAAUCAUCCAGCGUUCUCGCUGGUGCACUUUGCCGGUCCAGGCCAGCAUCAGUUCGCUGCGGGGGAUAAAGGCGUAGGGAAUGUGGCUCCUCGGAGUGUUAUAGCCCUUCGCGUAAUACCCUGCGGUGGACUGAGGUUCGCGCUCUGCAAGGAUGCUGGCGUAAUGGUCAUCAACGACCCGUCUUGAAACACGGACCAAGGAGUCGUCUUCGUAUGCGAGUGUUCGGGUGUAAAACCCCUACGCGUAAUGAAAGUGAACGCAGGUGAGAGCUUCGGCGCAUCAUCGACCGAUCCUGAUGUUCUCGGAUGGAUUUGAGUAAGAGCAUACGGGGCCGGACCCGAAAGAAGGUGAACUAUGCCUGUAUAGGGUGAAGCCAGAGGAAACUCUGGUGGAGGCUCGCAGCGGUUCUGACGUGCAAAUCGAUCGUCAAAUAUGGGCAUGGGGGCGAAAGACUAAU